GACGAACGCUGGCGGCGUGCUUAACACAUGCAAGUCGAACGGAAAGGCCCUGCUUUUGUGGGGUGCUCGAGUGGCGAACGGGUGAGUAACACGUGAGUAACCUGCCCUUGACUUUGGGAUAACUUCAGGAAACUGGGGCUAAUACCGGAUAGGAGCUCCUGCUGCAUGGUGGGGGCUGGAAAGUUUCGGCGGUUGGGGAUGGACUCGCGGCCUAUCAGCUUGUUGGUUGGGUAGUGGCUUACCAAGGCCUUGACGGGUAGCAGGCCUGGGAGGGUGACCGGCCCCAUUGGGACGGGGAUGCGGCACAGACUCCUACGGGAGGCAACGGUGGGGAAUAUUGCACAAUGGGCGGAAGCCUGAUGCAGCAACGCCGCGUGCGGGAUGACGGCCUUCGGGUUGUAAACCGCUUUCGCCUGUGACGAAGCGUGAGUGACGGUAAUGGGUAAAGAAGCACCGGCUAACUACGUG
rnacentral:rRNA from 1 species